UCGGGAUUUAUUCCUUAAUUCCGCGUUUUGCCUUGUUGCCUUUUAUCGAUGAUUGCUGACUUAUCAUUCAUGAUUGAACUUGCCAUAUAUAUAUAAAUCAUGAACGUAGACUCUUUAUCAUACAUAUACAACCAAUCAUCAUAUUAUUGCCAUAACUCACGAAACGUAUGAUGGCUAUUUAAACGACACCCACCUCCUUCGUUCUUAUCCUUCCCUCACGAAGCACACUUGCUUAUUCGUCGUAGUCAGAGAACGUCUCACGUCACCGGAGAUCGAAGCCCGCCGGAGACGAAGACGGCGUCGGGGUUCCAACCGGAGAGUCCCGAAGUCGCUAGUGGAACCGAACCACAGCUCACCGGAGACUCGGAGAAGACAGACGGGACACACGUCGUCACCGGAGAAAUAGCCGCGACCGCCCGAGUCACCACACGUAUUCGGAUAAACACUCUCGUUUCGCUCGUUCCUUUGGAUUUCUAAAUCUCUUGCGCUCUCUUGCAAAUCUUUUGGAUAAUCUCAAUCUCUUCUCACUUUCCAAGAGACGCAACGCAAUCAAAGGUGAGUAUACAUGACCCAUUUUCGAUGAUUUAUCAAGAUAUAAGAAAGCAAGCUAGGACGGCC
rnacentral:lncRNA from 1 species